rnacentral:rRNA from 1 species
UACGAAGGGGGCUAGCGUUGCUCGGAAUGACUGGGCGUAAAGCGUGCGCAGGCGGUUCGUUGUGUCGGCGGUGAAAGCCCCGGGCUUAACCUGGGAAUGGCCGUCGAAACUGGCGAACUGGAGUGUGGCAGAGGGGGGUGGAAUUCCGCGUGUAGCAGUGAAAUGCGUAGAGAUGCGGAGGAACACCGAUGGCGAAGGCAGCCCCCUGGGCUGACACUGACGCUGUGGCGCGAAAGCUAGGGGAGCGAACGGG